rnacentral:rRNA from 1 species
AUUGAACGCUGGCGGCAGGCCUAACACAUGCAAGUCGAGCGGAGCGGCGGACGGGUGAGUAAUGCCUAGGAAUCUGCCUGGUAGUGGGGGAUAACGUCCGGACACGGGCGCUAAUACCGCAUACUAUCAGAUGAGCCUAGGUCGGAUUAGCUAGUUGGUGGGGUAAAGGCCUACCAAGGCGACGAUCCGUAACUGGUAUGAGAGGAUGAUCAGUCACAAGGGAACCGAGACACGGGCCAGACUCCUACGGGAGGCAGCAGUGGGGAAUAUUGAACAAUGGGCGAAAGCCUGAGCCAGCCAUGCCGCGUGUGUGAAGAAGGUCUUCGGAGUGAAAAGCACUUUAAGUUGGGAGGCGGUACCAAGAGAAUAAGCACCGGCUAACUUCGUGGCAGCAGCCGCGGUAAUUC